rnacentral:rRNA from 1 species
GGAAGGAUCAUUACUGAAUUGUCAAACGGGCUGUUGCUGGUCCUCAAAUGGGGACAUGUGCACGCUCUGUUUACACAUCCACUCACACCUGUGCACCCUCUGUAGUUUUACGGUCUGGGGGACCCUGUCUUCCUUCCGUAGUUCUACGUCUUUACACACACACUGUAAUAAAGUCUUAUGGAAUGUAUGCCGCGUCUAACGCAAAACAAUACAACUUUCAGCAACGGAUCUCUUGGCUCUCGCAUCGAUGAAGAACGCAGCGAAAUGCGAUAAGUAAUGUGAAUUGCAGAAUUCAGUGAAUCAUCGAAUCUUUGAACGCACCUUGCGCCCCUUGGAUAUUCCGAGGGGCAUGCCUGUUUGAGUAUCAUGAACACCUCAACUCUCAUGGUUUGCCGUGACGAGCUUGGACCUUGGGGGUUUUGCUGGCCUGUGGUCGGCUCCUCUCAAAUGAAUCAGCCUCCCAGUGUUUGGUGGCAUCACGAGUGUGAUAACUAUCUACGCUCGCGGUUUUCCACCAGGUAACCUUUGGUGACAAAGGUUCGCUGGAGCUCACAGAUGUCUCUCCUCAGCGAGGACAGCUUUUUAACGUUCGAUCUCAAAUCAGGU